rnacentral:rRNA from 1 species
GGAAAGGCGCGCGAUACAGGGUGACAGCCCCGUACACAAAAAUGCACAUGCUGUGAGCUCGAUGAGUAGGGCGGGACACGUGGUAUCCUGUCUGAAUAUGGGGGGACCAUCCUCCAAGGCUAAAUACUCCUGACUGACCGAUAGUGAACCAGUACCGUGAGGGAAAGGCGAAAAGAACCCCGGCGAGGGGAGUGAAAAAGAACCUGAAACCGUGUACGUACAAGCAGUGGGAGCACGCUUAGGCGUGUGACUGCGUACCUUUUGUAUAAUGGGUCAGCGACUUAUAUUCUGUAGCAAGGUUAACCGAAUAGGGGAGCCGAAGGGAAACCGAGUCUUAACUGGGCGUUAAGUUGCAGGGUAUAGACCCGAAACCCGGUGAUCUAGCCAUGGGCAGGUUGAAGGUUG